rnacentral:rRNA from 1 species
GACGAACGCUGGCGGCGUGCCUAAUACAUGCAAGUAGAACGCUGAAGAGAAGAGCUUGCUCUUCUUGGAUGAGUUGCGAACGGGUGAGUAACGCGUAGGUAACCUGCCUGGUAGCGGGGGAUAACUAUUGGAAACGAUAGCUAAUACCGCAUAAAAUUGAUUAUUGCAUGAUAAUUAAUUGAAAGAUGCAAUUGCGUCACUACCAGAUGGACCUGCGUUGUAUUAGCUAGUUGGUGAGGUAACGGCUCACCAAGGCGACGAUACAUAGCCGACCUGAGAGGGUGAUCGGCCACACUGGGACUGAGACACGGCCCAGACUCCUACGGGAGGCAGCAGUAGGGAAUCUUCGGCAAUGGGGGGAACCCUGACCGAGCAACGCCGCGUGAGUGAAGAAGGUUUUCGGAUCGUAAAGCUCUGUUGUAAGAGAAGAACGGGUGUGAGAGUGGAAAGUUCACACUGUGACGGUAUCUACCAGA